UACAGAGGUCUCAAGCGUUGUUCGGAUUCAUUGGGCGUAAAGGGUGCGUAGGCGGCGCGGUAAGUCGGGUGUGAAAUCUCGGAGCUUAACUCCGAAACUGCAUUCGAUACUGCCGUGCCUUGAGGACUGGAGAGGAGACUGGAAUUUACGGUGUAGCGGUGAAAUGCGUAGAUAUCGUAAGGAAGACCAGUGGCGAAGGCGGGUCUCUGGACAGUUCCUGACGCUGAGGCACGAAGGCCAGGGGAGCAAAACGGGAUUAGA
rnacentral:rRNA from 1 species